rnacentral:lncRNA from 1 species
CCACCCCAAGCACCUGGGAACCGGGGGGGGGGGCAGCGAAGCACAAGGAGGGGGAAGGGGCGCAGGGGUUUUGAUCCGGCUGAGCUCCAGCACCCUCCAGCUCCCCCGGCCGCCUCCCAGUCGCCCCCAGUUUCCUCUGGGACGCCCCAGAGGCCUCCCAGGGUGCUCGAGGGUGCCCCACGAGUCAUCCUGCACCCACGUCCCUGCUGUCCCCAGUGUCCCCAACACCCCUGAUAGCCCCAUCUUCCACGUUCCCAGUGUCCCCCAUAUCCCCGGUGUCCCCCAUGUCCCCAGUGUCCCCAGUAUCGUUGCCGUCCCAGUGCCCCAUGUCCCCGGUGUCCCCCACGUCCCCAUCCUUGAUGGCCCCAUGUCCUGUGUCACCCCUGUCCCCACUGUCCCCCUAUGUCCCCAGCACCCCCAACAUCCUUGAUAUCCCAGUGUCCCCCAGUACCCCCAGUGUCCCCCCUACACUGCUGAUGUCCCCAUGUCCCUGCUGUCCCUCGCGUCCCCAUUCCCGAUGGCCCCAUGUCCUGUGCCACCCCUGGCCCCGAUGUCCCCAGUGUCCCUCCCAUCCCUGAUGUCCCACUGUCCCCUCAUGUCCCCAGUGUCCCCCUCCCCCCCAGGGAGGAGGCCGGUGGGUUCCACAUGCGCCUUUAUCAUAAUAACAUUAAUUAAUACCAAGGGUAACGAGGCGGAGCCGCCCCACGCCCACAAUGCACUAAAACGGCACGUGCUGCGGGGACACGGGGACACCCCGGGGGACGCGGCCCGGCGCUGAUUGUCACUGCGUGGCCCCGCGUCCCCAGCGCCGCCGGGUCCCCUCUGUCCCCGCGCCUGUCCCCACGGGGCCACCGCUGCCCCCAGGGCGUCCACGGGCCGUGUCCCUGUGUCACACCCCUGUCGUGUCCCCGCGUCACGUCGCCGUGUCCCCGCGGCGUCCUUCAGCGCCACGUCCCCCUGCCAUCGCUCCGGGCCACCUCUCCGUGCCGUGUCCCCAGGCCAUCGCGCCGCGUCCCGUCCUUACGCCACCUCUGUCACUCUUCAGCGCCGCGUCCCCGCGCCGCAUCCCCGAGCCGUCCCAGUGCCACCUCUGCGCCGUCCCGCCGUGUCGCCUCCGUGCCGUGUCCCCGCGUUGUCCCUCUCCGUGCCGCGUCCCCGGGCCGUGUCCCCGUGUCACGUCCCCGUGUCACGCCACGGCGUGCCGUGUCCCCCCGUCAUGUCCCCACGUCACAGCCACGUGUCACAGCCGCGUGUCGCGCCACCGUGUGCCGCGUCCCCGGGCCGUGUCCCCCCGUCACGUCCCCGCGUCACAGCCGCGUGUCACGCCACGGCGUGCCGCGUCCCCUCGCCACGUCCCCGUGCCACGGCCGCAGCACGCCGUGUCCCCGUGC